GUCCCAGUAGCGUAAUGGAUAGCACGUUGGACUUCUAAUCCAAAGGUUGUGGAUUCGAAUCCCGCCUGGGAUG
rnacentral:tRNA from 1 species